GAUGAACGCUGGCGGCGUGCCUAAUACAUGCAAGUCGAGCGAACAGACGAGGAGCUUGCUCCUCUGACGUUAGCGGCGGACGGGUGAGUAACACGUGGAUAACCUACCUAUAAGACUGGGAUAACUUCGGGAAACCGGAGCUAAUACCGGAUAACAUGUUGAACCGCAUGGUUCAACAGUGAAAGACGGUCUUGCUGUCACUUAUAGAUGGAUCCGCGCCGCAUUAGCUAGUUGGUAAGGUAACGGCUUACCAAGGCAACGAUGCGUAGCCGACCUGAGAGGGUGAUCGGCCACACUGGAACUGAGACACGGUCCAGACUCCGACGGGAGGCAGCAGUAGGGAAUCUUCCGCAAUGGGCGAAAGCCUGACGGAGCAACGCCGCGUGAGUGAAGAAGGUCUUCGGAUCGUAAAACUCUGUUAUGAGGGAAGAACAAAUGUGUAAGUAACUAUGCACGUCUUGACGGUACCUAAUCAGAAAGCCACGGCUAACUACGUG
rnacentral:rRNA from 1 species